rnacentral:rRNA from 1 species
AACAAGGAUUCCCCUAGUAACGGCGAGUGAAGAGGGAAGAGCCCAAGAUUGAAAGCUGGCGUCUUCGGCGUCCGCAUUGUAAUCUCAAGAAGUGUUUACCGCUUCGGACCAUGCCUAAGUCCCUUUGGAAAAGGGCAUCAUAGAGGGUGAUAAUUCCGUACAUGGCAUGGAGCGCCCGAAGCUUUGUGAUACGCUUUCUAAGAGUCGAGUUGUUUGGGAAUGCAGCUCAAAAUGGGUGGUAAAUGCCAUCUAAGGCUAAAUAUUGGGGAGAGACCGAUAGCGAACAAGUACAGUGAUGGUAAGAUGAAAAGAACUUUGUAAAGAGAGUUAAACAGUACGUGAAAUUGCCAAAAGGGAAGGGUAGGAGGUCAGAGAUGCGGCCUAGGACUCAGCCUUGCUUUUGCUUGGUGUUUUUCCUAGAUUGCAGGCCAACGUCGGUUUCGGGCACUGGAGAAUGGUGGAAGGAAUGUGGCACCUCUCGGGGUGUGUUAUAGCCUUCUACUGGAUACAGCGACCGAGACCGAGGACAGCAGCG